rnacentral:rRNA from 1 species
UACGUAGGGUGCGAGCGUUAAUCGGAAUUACUGGGCGUAAAGCGUGCGCAGGCGGUUUUUUAAGACAGAUGUGAAAUCCCCGGGCUCAACCUGGGACCUGCAUUUGUGACUGGAUAGCUAGAGUACGGUAGAGGGGGAUGGAAUUCCGCGUGUAGCAGUGAAAUGCGUAGAUAUGCGGAGGAACACCGAUGGCGAAGGCAGUCCCCUGGACCUGUACUGACGCUCAUGCACGAAAGCGUGGGGAGCAAACAGG